AACGCACCUUGCGCCCUUUGGCUAUUCUGAAGGGCAUGCCUGUUUGAGUAUCAUGAACACCUCAACUCUCAUGGUUUGCCAUGAUGAGCUUGGACUUUGGGGGUCUUGCUGGCCUAUGGUCGGCUCCUCUCAAAUGAAUCAGCUUGCCAGUGUUUGGUGGCGUCACAGGUGUGAUAACUAUCUACGCUUGUGGUUUUCCACCAGGUAACCUUCAGUGAUGGAGGUUCGCUGGGGCUCACAAAUGUCUCUCCUCAGCGGGGACAGCUUUUUAAACGUUUGAUCUCAAAUCAGGUAGGACUACCCGCUGAACUUAA
rnacentral:misc_RNA from 1 species